rnacentral:rRNA from 1 species
GACGAACGCUGGCGGCGUGCUUAACACAUGCAAGUCGAACGGAAAGGCCCUUCGGGGUACUCGAGUGGCGAACGGGUGAGCAACACGUGGGUGAUCUGCCCUGCACUUUGGGAUAAGCCUGGGAAACUGGGUCUAAUACCGAAUAGGACCACGCGCUUCAUGGUGUGUGGUGGAAAGCUUUUGCGGUGUGGGAUGGGCCCGCGGCCUAUCAGCUUGUUGGUGGGGUAAUGGCCUACCAAGGCGACGACGGGUAGCCGGCCUGAGAGGGUGACCGGCCACACUGGGACUGAGAUACGGCCCAGACUCCUACGGGAGGCAGCAGUGGGGAAUAUUGCACAACGGGCGCAAGCCUGAUGCAGCGACGCCGCGUGAGGGAUGACGGCCUUCGGGUUGUAAACCUCUUUCACCAGGGACGAAGCGUAAGUGACGGUACCUGGAGAAGAAGCACCGGCCAACUACGUG